CCGGCAGGUGGCGCCCGCCGCCCCCGGUGAGCCGUGCGCGGCCCCGGCCCCGCCGCCGGCCCCGGUGGGAGGAGCCGAGGGGGCUCUGUGUGAAGCUCUGCUCUCUGUUUUUCCACACAGCACCAUCACCUGUGAACAUCUGGACACGGGCAGCACCAUCAGCUGAUGAGACAGAUGACACACUGAGUGCCAGGCAGCUGAUCCUCCGUGAUGAGUGCUGCGCAUCGCGUGGUUCCACCACAGACCCUGGCUACUGUCUCUCUUUCUCCUCACGCAUCAGCCAUAGGUCGAGGCUGAAAUGUCACCUGCUGAUGUGUGAGUCCAGCAACAAGUAAAGCGCAGGAAGGUACAAAAAUGUCAGGGCUGUUGACCAACGGAGGCUGGUUUGCAAGGGGCAUGUGCUGCUCUGUACCUCUCUGGGGCCCACGCUGCAGUAGUCAGUGAAGAAUCCUGCUUCAGUGUGAGGCAAUGGAAACUGUCUUAACAGCAGCAUCCCUGUACCUGGCAAAAAGACAUUUUCACAAAACAUUUUGGGUUAGGAGGAAAUUAGCCAGCACGGGGACAAAACAUGAAGAAGUGGCAUCUUCACAUGCACUGCUCCCUUGCAGAAAAAAAAAAAAAAAAAAAAAAAAAAAAAAACAGAAAACUUUUUUGCUAGUGUCUGAGCUCCAGCAACUAAAAUGGCUGUUGGGUGAGCCAGAGCUCCACUGUAGUCAGCUGCAAGCUGCAUCUCUGAGCUGAUGCAGGCAUUGCAUCUGCAAAGCUGCUACCCAUCCGCUCUGCCUCUUUUUCCUCCUCAGGAAAAAGUCUACCUCUUUUUCUUCCCAGAAAGCCCACCAGGGAGACUGGCCUUCGUUCUGCCUCCCUGCUCACGGCUGUUCUGCUGCAGGGGAAUGGUGUCAAAUUCCAGAGAGAGAGAGGGAGGCAAAGCCACUUGCAAUGCAAUCAAGCAACUGCUGUGGGAAGAAGCCGGGCAGCAAAGAAUGAUUUACUAACACAAGCUAAGCCAAUAUAAACACUUAUGAUACAGGUGCCUGUGCUCUCAGAGAUUGCCUGACUUAAUUCAAUUGUUUUGUAAACCAAUUUAGUUAAAUCUGUAUAAAACUGGUGUUUAAACAAGCCAAAACAGUGUUUAAAAUGUCAUUAAUAAAACAUAUCACCAUAAAACAAA